rnacentral:rRNA from 1 species
UACAGAGGGUGCAAGCGUUGUUCGGAAUUAUUGGGCGUAAAGGGCGCGUAGGCGGUUCGGCAAGUCUCUAGUGAAAUCUCAGGGCUCAACUCUGAGUCUGCUGGGGAAACUGCCGGGCUUGAGUGCGGGAGAGGGAUGUGGAAUUCCAGGUGUAGCGGUGAAAUGCGUAGAUAUCUGGAGGAACACCGGUGGCGAAGGCGGCAUCCUGGACCGACACUGACGCUGAGGCGCGAAAGCUAGGGUAGCAAACGGG